UCAAAACAUAUUUAAAUAAGAUUUUAAGCUAUUCUGGGAAGCUCCAUUAUAAGGCAAUAAAUAGAAUAUAUGACUCACAUGCAUUAUUUCCGGAAAAAGUGAAGACUAUGAAUUUAACCAGUACAUCAGCUGAAUAGCAUUAUAAUGUACUACUCUGAAUCAUGAAAAUAUCGGAAUAAAAUGAACAAAUAAAUUAUAAUUUUAAUUAAUUAAAAUAAAAUUGUAAGAUAUUCUAGCUAGUAUCCUUUUCCUGGAUUUAAAAAACUUUUGUCAGAUAAACAAAAGAAAAUUGCAUUAACGUCAGCCAUGGCUAUAAUGCAAGAAUGCUCAAACAACAAAAUAAGAAUAGCAAAAAAAAAAAAAAGAACAGCCAAGAUAACUUGACUUAUUUUUCAAGGAAUUGAUUGGUAGAAUUUGACAGUAGCAAAACUGAUCGUACUAAAGAUUAGAAAAUUCUCUUACCGUAUCUCUAUUAAUUACACCUUUCUGUCCAUCUGGUCUCACUUGGUUCACUGAACUAAUCUCUAUCCUAAACCUAAUUUGUCUUUCUUGGUUCAUUCAAUUACUCUUUUUCUUAAUAGGCUAAUAGACAAUUUGCGUUCGCUAAAUAAACAAUUGAAUUCUGACCGAAU
rnacentral:lncRNA from 1 species